rnacentral:rRNA from 1 species
GACGAACGCUGGCGGCGUGCCUAACACAUGCAAGUCGAACGGAAAGGCCCUGCUUUUGCGGGGUGCUCGAGUGGCGAACGGGUGAGUAACACGUGAGUAACCUGCCCUUGACUUUGGGAUAACUUCAGGAAACUGGGGCUAAUACCGGAUAGGAUCUCUUGCUGCAUGGUGGGGGUUGGAAAGUUUCGGCGGUUGGGGAUGGACUCGCGGCUUAUCAGCUUGUUGGUGGGGUAGUGGCUUACCAAGGCUUUGACGGGUAGCCGGCCUGAGAGGGUGACCGGGCACAAGAGGACUGAGGUAGGGAGCAGACGGCAACGGGAGGCAACGGGGGAGAGUAUUACGCAGUGAGCGGGAGCCUGUGACGGCGGCGCCGGGUGCGGAAAGACGGGCUUCGAGUUAUGAACCGCUGUGGCCUGUGACGAAGCGUGAGUGACGGUAAUGGGUAAGAAAGCACCGGCUAACUACGUG